GUAGUUUGAUCGUGGCUCAGAUUGAACGCUGGCGGCAUGCCUUACACAUGCAAGUCGAACGGCAGCACGGGAGCUUGCUCCUGGUGGCGAGUGGCGAACGGGUGAGUAAUGCAUCGGAACGUAUCCUGGAGUGGGGGAUAACGUAGCGAAAGUUACGCUAAUACCGCAUAUUCUGUCGAGCAAGGAAAGCGGGGGACCUUCGGGCCUCGCGCUCUUGGAGCCGGCCGAUGUCGGAUUAGCUAGUUGGUGA
rnacentral:rRNA from 1 species